rnacentral:rRNA from 1 species
GACGAACGCUGGCGGCGUGCUUAACACAUGCAAGUCGAACGGAAAGGCCCUGCUUUUGUGGGGUGCUCGAGUGGCGAACGGGUGAGUAACACGUGAGUAACCUGCCCUUGACUUUGGGAUAACUUCAGGAAACUGGGGCUAAUACCGGAUAGGAGCUCCUGCUGCAUGUUGGGGGUUGGAAAGUUUCGGCGGUUGGGGAUGGACUCGCGGCUUAUCAGCUUGUUGGUGGGGUAGUGGCUUACCAAGGCUUUGACGGGUAGCCGGCCUGAGAGGGUGACCGGCCACAUUGGGACUGAGAUACGGCCCAGACUCCUACGGGAGGCAGCAGUGGGGAAUAUUGCACAAUGGGCGGAAGCCUGAUGCAGCAACGCCGCGUGCGGGAUGACGGCCUUCGGGUUGUAAACCGCUUUCGCCUGUGACGAAGCGUGAGUGACGGUAAUGGGUAAAGAAGCACCGGCUAACUACGUG